rnacentral:sRNA from 1 species
GCUGGGUGUGGUGGCACACACCUGUAAUCCCAGUGGCUCAGGAGGCUGAGGCAGGAGAAUGGCCAGUUUAAAACCAGCCUCAGCAAUGGCGAGGCGCUAAGCCACUCAGUGAGACCCUGUCUCUA